rnacentral:rRNA from 1 species
UACGAAGGGGGCUAGCGUUGUUCGGAAUUACUGGGUGUAAAGCGCGCGCAGGCGGUCUUCCAAGUCAGUGGUGAAAGCCUGGAGCUCAACUCCAGAACUGCCAUUGAAACUGUUAGACUUGAGUACGAGAGAGGUGAGUGGAAUUCCCAGUGUAGAGGUGAAAUUCGUAGAUAUUGGGAAGAACACCAGUGGCGAAGGCGGCUUUCUGGACGGUAACUGACGCUGAGACGCGAAAGCGUGGGGAGCAAACAGGG